AACGAACGCUGGCGGCAUGCCUAACACAUGCAAGUCGAGCGGUAGAGAGAAGCUUGCUUCUCUUGAGAGCGGCGGACGGGUGAGUAAUGCCUAGGAAUCUGCCUGGUAGUGGGGGAUAACGUCCGGAAACGGACGCUAAUACCGCAUACGUCCUACGGGAGAGAGCAGGGGACCUUCGGGCCUUGCGCUAUCAGAUGAGC
rnacentral:rRNA from 1 species